rnacentral:lncRNA from 1 species
CAGCCAUCGAUGAGGAGCAAAGGCAAGGAAACAUGGGACAGGAUGUCAUUGCAGUACAAGUAACUGUGCCUGAACACUGUGAGCAGAGGGGAGAGAACUCAACUGCCAUUGUGGCAGUGGAAAACAUCAUUGUAUAUCCUUGCAUUGUGUCGAAUAGUACUUCUUUUUAUCUGUGCUGAUCCUUCUCCCAAUCAAUUUCACUAGAGGACCCCUUUCUAUUAUUAAAUGAGAAAUGGAUGUGGGGGGGGGAUCUCUGCUCAUUUUCUCCACAGCAUUCAUGAUUCUCUCAGCCUCUCUUAUGCCCUCCAUUGUUUAAAGUUUUUUUAACAAAGGGGGGAAACAGCUCCAAAUGCUUUCGAUGAAUCCAAAACCACGUAAAUCACAAGGCGCUGGUAAUUAGCCCAUGCUAAUGACACUGUAGUUAAGACUGUUUGAAUAUUUUCAUUAUAAUGCCUACCCCCUUUUUCGUCGGAAAUGAAAAGACUGGAGAUAAAUAUUGGUUGUUGUUCACAUGAAGAAAAUUUGCAUGCAAAGGACCAGAACCACACUCAGUCUCUCUGGUUUUAAUCACAGUCAUUGAAAUCACUGCUAAAAACGAGAGCAAGGAAAAAAUCACCUCGACAUCUUAGGCUUCAUUUUAACUACCGUAUUUUUCACACUAUAACACGCAUCCGACCAUAACACGCACGUAGUUUUUAGAGGAGGAAAACAAGAAAAAAAAUAUUCUAAACGAAACAGUGGAUGUAUGAUUUUUGUAGUUCAUGCUGUGGCCACAGACAUGUGAUCUGACAGGGAGUUUGGAGUAGCCCAAUGCAAAAAUCCUGAGGAUCCAUGUGGAUCCAUGCUUUGUAAACACGUUUUGUACCACUGAGGCCCCAGGCAACAGUUGGUGCAUGAUUUUUUUGGUGCAAGAUGUAGCCAUGGACAUGCUAUGUGAUCUGAUGGUGAAUUUGGGGUGACCCAGUGCAAAAAUCCUGAGGAUCCAUGUGGAUCCAUGCUUUGUAACCACGUUUUAAGUGGGGAGGGAAGGAAAAGCACUCAAGGGACAAGGAGCACGCGUGGGGUGUGUGGAGAAGGAUGCUGCUAAUAAUGCAGAAGAGGGGUAUAAGAGGAGAAGGCUCCUCUCCUCUCCCACUUUGCUCCUUUAAAGAAGCAGGCUCUCUGUCCCCCUCUCCUCCCCACUCAGCGGCUCUUCUCCCGGCUCUUCUCCCGCUUUGCCGUUUCAAAGCGAGCCACAGAGGAGGGAAGGAAGGGGAACCAUGGAUCCUCUGCUCACGACUGCAGCAGAUCCCCCCCCGCCACCCGUAGGCAUUCCCUCCAUAACACGCACAGACAUUUCCCCUUACUUUCUAGGACGAAAAAAGUGAGUGUUACGGUGCAAAAAAUACGAUAGUUUUUUAAUGCAGUUUUCAAUACAGCUGAAAGAAAUAGCUAUAGAGAAGCAGUAACGAUUGUCCGCCCCUCUUUCUUGGUGAAAACAGAGCAAGAGACUGAGAGUCGCUUCAUGCAUUAUGUUUUUGGCGCACACCUUAAAACAUAAGCAUACUUCUUUAAAAAGUGAGUAUGACAAAAACAUGGGCUUUAUACAGAUUCCACACCUUAAAGAGUCGUUAUUUGCUGCUGCUUCCUUGAUGAGUUCAAGAUGCUUUUCUGCAAAAACAUGUGAAAUGGAUAGCUAUAUUUCCUUGUUUGUGGGAUCCAAAGAGAGGAAACAAAAGAGCAGAGAAUAGCAAAUGAAAGCUUUGUUUCUUUUGUACACCAAUAAAAUGGUUGACAUGGAAGUCAGUGUGGUUAAUUCAAGUCAAUAGAAAGCUGCACUAGACCUACAGAGACCCAGAGAUUCAAGUAUCUUCUCAGCCAUGAAGCUCAGCUGAGGUGACUUUGGCCCAGUCAGUUUCCCUCAGCCAAAUUCACCUCACAGUUAUUUUGAGGACACAUUAUGAAACUCUAAGGGGACAGGAGGGCAGGAAACACCUCAUAAACAACCCUGAGCAGCUUGGAGGGUGGGCAGAAUAAAUAUUGUAAUAAUUAAAUGACCAAAGGAAGGAAAUGUGAUUGUUUUCUGUAAUGGAACAGAUCUUAUGUAAUGCAGGUUAUAGUAUGAAGAGGAAUUUCUCUCUCAGCAACUUAUGUGCUGCAGGCAAAACAAUAUAUCCUUUUUCCUAUGUUAUUGAGUGCUAAGUCUUUUCUGCCUUAACCACUUGGCAAGUUCACCAUCUGUAUGAAAUAAUCUGUGGCAGGUGACCUCCAAUAGGAAAAUCCUUGCAGCUAGAGCUGCUUUUUAAGGAGCAGCUUGUCUCAGACCCUCCAAGUGCCCCUAUUUUCCAGGGACAUCCCUAAUGUCUACAAGCUGUCCCAGUUUCCGAUUUGAUCCCAGAAUGUCCCACUUUUCCUUAGUAAGUCCCUAUUUUCAUUGGAGGGUUUGGUAGAAUGUCCCUAUUUUCAUUGGGAAAAUGUUGGAGGGUAUAUGGUGUUAUCUGCCAACUGAAGGCAGUCUUGUAUAGGGAAGUUUUUUUAAAAAAAUGUUUAAUGUUUUAUUGUGUUUUAUAUAUCUUGGAAGCUACCCAGAGUGGCUGGGGCAACCCAGUCAGAUGGGCAGUUAUCAGCCUGAUGGUGCCUCAGGUAGUUCCACUUGGAGAUCUCUUCUUACGAAGGUUUUGAUCUGAUGCACGGUUGCCCAUAGGAAUGCAUUGAAAAUCAAUUAAUGCGGUCCUUGGGAAACCUUCAGACAGGUCAGGGACAGUCUGUCCCGGACCUCUCUGAAAGCUGGGGAGCAUGGGCUUUCUUCCCACCCCCAGCAUUUUAAAAACCCGGGACAGCGGGGACUUCUCACUGUCAGCAUUAAAUGCUGGCAUUGGGCGGCAUUUAAAAAAUCACCCCGGGACAUGGCGGAGGACUUCUCCGCUGUCAGGAAUUAAAGCCCUGGGAAGGCAGGCAGGGGAACAAGCUUUGCCCCGCCCAGCCUUCAGAAGAGGUCUGGACCCUCUUCUGAAGGCGGCGGCCAAUGCUCCCCGCAGCCUAACCCUCGGGACGGGCGGGCAGGGGAGCAGGCUCGCCCCCGCCCGCCUCAGAAGGUCUUCCACCUCCCCAUGCCCGGCCGGGCACCGUUCAGAAGCCGGGAGGCGGUCUUCCCUCCCCCCCGCCCGGCCGGGCACCGUUCCCGAAGCCGGGCGCUUUGGCAGUGUUCCCUCCCCGCCCGGCCGGGCUGCGUUCCCGGCCGGGCGGCAGAGGGUCUUCCCCUCCCCACCGCCCGGCCGGGCACCGUUCGAAGCCCGGGUGGCCAGCAGUGUUCCCUCCCCCGCCCGGCCCGGGCACCGUUCCCGAAGCCGGGCGGCAGGUGUUCCCUCCCCGCCCGGCGGAGGAGCCUUCCGGCCCGGCGGCGGCGGGAAGGAGGUGUCCCCGCCCCGCCGCCAGGCGGAGGGAGGUCCGAGGACAGUGAGAGGGCACUGCUUCCCCGCUGGCUACGUUUCCUGAGGCUGUAAGGCCCUUAGAAGUCGUUUCUGGCGCCUCAAAAUGAAACCCUUUCGUCUAGCGGGUUUCCGUCUUCUGUCGUCUGCGAAUUACACUGUAGUAAAAUUAUCCUUAUGGAAUGGAAAGUCCCUGUUUUUAUCGGAGAAAUGUUGGAGGAUAUGUUGUCUUCCAUGCCUCUACAUCAUAGUUUUCAGAUUUUAAGUUCAAGGUUCCUGUUCCAAGUGCUGUUUAUUUGUUUUCAUGUUCAGAACAAGGUAUGGUGGGACCUGAGGUCAGCUCAGGUGCCCCUGCUGCCCCUCUUCGCCCUUCCCUCCCUUGCUUGUCCCACGCCAUCCUGCUCUGCAACCUCACUCUCACUCCUGCUCCUGCCAACCUAGCAGUUUGAAAGCACGUCAAAGUGCAAGUAGAUAAAUAGGUACCGCUCCGGCGGGAAGGUAAAUGGCGUUUCUGUGUGCUGCUCUGGUUUGCCAGAAGCGGCUUAGUCAUGCUGGUCACAUGACCCAGAAGCUGUACGCCGGCUUCCUCGGCCAGUAAAGCGAGAUGAGCGCCACAACCCCAGAGUCGGUCACGACUGGACCUAAUGGUCAGGGGUCCCUUUACCUUUACCUAACUGAAGCAGAUUAAAGUGCCCCAUCGCCCUAGCACAACAAAACCACUUAAUAACAACAGACUUUUGCAAGUUUGGAAAGUGUCAUGGAAAUGCAGUGAAAAUGGAUUCCAAGGGGUUUAGGCAGCAGCAGCUGAGCCUGAGUAAGGAAGGAGGCAGCAACUUGAAACGUAAGCUAGCAAAAUGGUGGUGAGCAGCCCUGCAAGUGGCUAAAGGCAGCAGCAAAUGUGUCAGGAUCACUUGUCUACCACCCUUUUGAUCUGCCACCUGAGGCAGGGAUCUCUACUUACCUAAUGGAAGAGCCGGUCCUGUAUAUCGUGAAAUAUUUAUUUUUGUGAUUUAUUUUUAAUAUUCUGUUAAGGUUUGGCUUGACUUGAGAGGAACACCUUGUUAUAUUAAUACAUCUUUAAAUAAUAAUAAUAAUAAUAAUAAUAAUAAUAAUAAUAAUAAUAAUUUAUUUAUACCCCGCCCAUCUGGCUGAGUUUCCCCAGCCACUCUGGGCGGCUCCCAAUCAAGUGUUAAAAACAGUACAUUCAUAUGUGCUUUAUUUCAGAUUAAGCAAACUGUCUGUUUGUUGAUGAGAUUGCCAUAUCUCUCAAGUUACAGUUUUGGGUGUGUUGUAUACCGAAAGGGCUGGGUGGGGUUGUACGUGUUUAAUUCUUGAUUUGAAAGUGUGAAAUUACAUGCAAUAGAUGGCUUCACAAGCUCAAAAUUUAAAAGCCUUUUUUACCCCCCUAAGAGGAUGUGGGUGGGAGGACAACUCCGGAAAGAUGAGGAAAUCUGUUAUUGACCUCUUUGAAGCAACACUAUUCUGAGAGUUCCCAACAUGGUUACUUUGGCAAACUAUGCCAUGAGACGACAUGUUAAUUGUGGGCACUCUGACUCUCAGAGGUGGGGGAACUGGCAAGAGAAGAAAGCGAAGUGCUUAAGGUAAGAGUUUGUAACAUUUCACAGAACCUCUGGGGGAAUACGGAACUCAAGAAUCAAUGGACCUCUGGUUGAAAUACCCUGCCCUAAACAAAGAACCAGAGAAUAGUGAAAGCAUUGCAGCCAUAGAUGGAGGUAUGGGACUUCAUUGUUUAGCAACAAGGUAAAGGUAAAGGGACCCAUGACCAUUAGGUCCAGUCGUGGCCGACUCUGGGGUUGCGGCACUCAUCUCGCUUUAUUGGCCGAGGGAGCCGGCGUACAGCUUCCGGGUCAUGUGGCCAGUAUGACUAAGCCGCUUCUGGCGAACCAGAGCAGCACACGGAAACGCCGUUUACCUUCCCGCCAGAGCAGUACCUAUUUAUCUACUUGCACUUUGACGUGCUUUCGAACUGCUAGGUUGGCAGGAGCAGGGACCGAGCAUCGGGAGCUCACCCCGUCGCGGGGAUUCGAACCGUCGACCUUCCAAUCGGCAAGUCCUUGCAUGAAAGUGGCCUCCCAAUUUUUCUCACAGGCCCAUAUAAGUUCAGCACAAACAGUUGGGCCUGGUGAGCAUUUAAGGUCCCCAACCCUAAUCUGUGGGUUGCCAUCCGAUUGGAUUUUAUUCUGAUCCUGAUCUGAUUUGAGGAUGUAUUUUAAUUGAUUGUCUGAUUUUAUGUUAAUGUAUUAUACAUUUGAUGUUAGCCACUCUGAGCCCGCCUUUGGCUGGGGAGGGUGGGAUAUAAAUAAAAUUUAUUAUUAUUAUUAUUAUUAUUAUUAUUAUUACUAGGCUCUGUGGUUUAACCCUCAGCGACACCCGCGUCCCAUAUUAUCACAGUACCUUUCUAUAAAGGAAACUCACCUGGUAAUGAGCAGAAAUGGCUUCAUUUUGACAGAGUUGGUAAACCUCUGUCUGGCAUGUACCAGUUCAAACUGUAGCGGGGCAGAAUCAGAUAAUUGAUUGUUCCUCCAGGCAAGCCCUCCCUGCACAUAGGAAACUAGCAAGUCAGGGAGAAGACAAGGCUAAAACUCGUUUCCACAAUACCUAGUUUUCAUGAUAGGUUAUGCAUUUUUUGACCACUUUCCCCAUCUGCAGUCUGAAGUGGUGUGGCCUUGAUACUGGUUAACCGCUGCAGUGAGACCUAAUUUUCAGACAAACUGGUGAUUCUUUCUCUCUUUUAAAACUGGAAUUUUCUGCUAGUUGUCCACUCAAUAUAUAAAAGCAUAUCGAGACAUUGACUUUGGUUUUGUCUUUUGAGGAUUCCAGAGUCUGCAAUUGUAAUGUGUUACAUUUGUUAAUACAAGAGUCACCCAGUAUCAUUGGCUACUGGACAAUGAAUGCUUUGCUUUAUAAACAAUUUCUCUCUUUCUCUUUAAGUUUACACAUCAGAAAUUUGAAACAGAAGAACUGAACUCUGCUGAGAGGCUUGCUUUGUCUUUUAUCUUCUGAAUCAUUGGUCAAGCUCACAAGGGUGUUCCAAAGUCUUUUUAAAAGCUAAUUGACUUAUAAGUG